UACGUAGGGUGCGAGCGUUAAUCGGAAUUACUGGGCGUAAAGCGUGCGCAGGCGGUGAUGUAAGACAGGUGUGAAAUCCCCGGGCUUAACCUGGGAACUGCAUUUGUGACUGCAUCGCUGGAGUGCGGCAGAGGGGGAUGGAAUUCCGCGUGUAGCAGUGAAAUGCGUAGAUAUGCAGAGGAACACCGAUGGCGAAGGCAAUCCCCUGGGCCUGCACUGACGCUCAUGCACGAAAGCGUGGGGAGCAAACAGG
rnacentral:rRNA from 1 species